GUUUAGCCCAGAUUGAAAUGGCAUCCUUUUUUUGUUUUUACAAAAAAAGAUAUAAUGGAAAGCUGGAAAUAGC
rnacentral:sRNA from 1 species